CUGGGAAACUUGAGUGCAGAAGAGGAGAGUGGAAUUCCACGUGUAGCGGUGAAAUGCGUAGAGAUGUGGAGGAACACCAGUGGCGAAGGCGACUCUCUGGUCUGUAACUGACGCUGAGGAGCGAAAGCGUGGGGAGCGAACAGGAUUAGAUACCCUGGUAGUCCACGCCGUAAACGAUGAGUGCUAAGUGUUAGGGGGUUUCCGCCCCUUAGUGCUGCAGCUAACGCAUUAAGCACUCCGCCUGGGGAGUACGGUCGCAAGACUGAAACUCAAAGGAAUUGACGGGGGCCCGCACAAGCGGUGGAGCAUGUGGUUUAAUUCGAAGCAACGCGAAGAACCUUACCAGGUCUUGACAUCCUCUGACAACCCUAGAGAUAGGGCUUUCCCUUCGGGGACAGAGUGACAGGUGGUGCAUGGUUGUCGUCAGCUCGUGUCGUGAGAUGUUGGGUUAAGUCCCGCAACGAGCGCAACCCUUGAUCUUAGUUGCCAGCAUUCAGUUGGGCACUCUAAGGUGACUGCCGGUGACAAACCGGAGGAAGGUGGGGAUGACGUCAAAUCAUCAUGCCCCUUAUGACCUGGGCUACACACGUGCUACAAUGGACAGAACAAAGGGCUGCAAGACCGCAAGGGUUUAGCCAAUCCCAUAAAUCUGUUCUCAGUUCGGAUCGCAGUCUGCAACUCGACUGCGUGAAGCUGGAAUCGCUAGUAAUCGCGGAUCAGC
rnacentral:rRNA from 1 species